rnacentral:miRNA from 1 species
ACUAGGUAUAGUCCGACGUAAAUUAUAUAAUCUACGUCGGAUACAAUACAAGGCUAGCGUAGAUUAUAUAAUUUACGUUAGACCAUACCUAGU